rnacentral:tRNA from 1 species
CAGAAAGUAGUUUAUGUAAAAUAUUAGUUUUGGUGACUGAGGAUGGGAAUGAUUUCUUCUUUCUGA